rnacentral:rRNA from 1 species
UACGUAGGAUGCAAGCGUUGUCCGGAAUUAUUGGGCGUAAAGAGUUCGUAGGCGGUUAUCUAAGUCUGGUGUUAAAGACGGGAGCUCAACUCCCGCAUGGCAUUGGAAACUGGGUGACUAGAGUGUGGUAGAGGUCUCGGGAAUUCCAGGUGUAGCGGUGAAAUGCGUAGAUAUCUGGAGGAACACCAGUGGCGAAAGCGCGAGACUGGGCCAUAAACUGACGCUGAGGAAACGAAAGCCAGGGUAGCAAAAGGG